GACGAACGCUGGCGGCGUGCCUAAUACAUGCAAGUGGGACGCAAGAGGACACACUGUGCUUGCACACCGUGUUUUCUUGAGUCGCGAACGGGUGAGUAACGCGUAGGUAACCUGCCUAUUAGCGGGGGAUAACUAUUGGAAACGAUAGCUAAUACCGCAUAAUAUUAAUUAUUGCAUGAUAAUUGAUUGAAAGAUGCAAGCGCAUCACUAGUAGAUGGACCUGCGUUGUAUUAGCUAGUUGGUAAGGUAAGAGCUUACCAAGGCGACGAUACAUAGCCGACCUGAGAGGGUGAUCGGCCACACUGGGACUGAGACACGGCCCAGACUCCUACGGGAGGCAGCAGUAGGGAAUCUUCGGCAAUGGACGAAAGUCUGACCGAGCAACGCCGCGUGAGUGAAGAAGGUUUUCGGAUCGUAAAGCUCUGUUGUAAGUCAAGAACGUG
rnacentral:rRNA from 1 species